AUUCUGCUUUUGAUGGCAUUGGAGAAUGGAGCCUAGGCCAGCCUGGAAGUGAGGAGUGGCCAAACACUCCAAGGCCAGAUCUUUAUCUUCAUUGCCAAGACAAAGUUUCCUGACCAGCUGUAGGU
rnacentral:lncRNA from 1 species